CCCAUGGGCCAGGGUCCCAGACUGAAUGAAAAGGAAGAAGUGAGUUGAGCGCCAGUUUUCAUCUCUUUCAGCCAACCGUGGACCAGGGGUUACUGGAGGACUGGAUAAACCCUUCAGCUGCUUUCAUCAGCUUCUUCACAGGAGUGAGAAGAAAAGUCCUGAGUGAUACACUGAGCAUGUUCAAGGCAGGCUGGACCAAGCCAUGCUCUGUACGAUGAGCACAAAACAAUGAAGACGAGGAACGCAGGCUCCACUGGAUGAGGUGACUGGCGCAGUGCCAUAAGCUCUGCAAGGGGUCAUCCUGCUCACCACUGCGUCAUAGGCCCAUGGCUGGCUCCUCUCUUCUUCAAGGUGGUCUGCCAGAUUGUCAGAACUGUGAACUUAAUCUCUUUCAGGGAGACAAGCUUCUCCUCUGACUAGUCAGUCCUUUCCUUCUCUCAGUAUGGGAUUUCUGGGGAAAUUAAAAUUUCUUGGGGGUGGGGGGGUGGAGGGAUCUGUUUCAAUUAUCUGCUAGGCAAAGGGAGAGACACAGUGUCUCUUUAGAAGUCUUCCUUCCUUCCAGGAUGACUACAGAGUGUCAGACACUUUCGUCCAUGGUCAGCACCAUUCCCCCCUUUGCAUUUAAAAAGCUGUAUAAAGUGUCA